rnacentral:rRNA from 1 species
AACGAACGCUGGCGGCGUGGAUAAGACAUGCAAGUCGAACGGAAGAUCUUUGGAGCUUGCUUUAAGGGUCUUUAGUGGCGAACGGUGAGUAACACGUGAGCAACCUGCCUGGAAGUGGGGGAUAGCCCGGGGAAACUCGGAUUAAUACCGCGUGUGGUUCUGCAGGACAUCCUGUGGAAACUAAAGGUGGCGCAAGCUGCCGCUUCCAGAUGGGCUCGCGGCCUAUCAGCUUGUUGGUGAGGUAACGGCUCACCAAGGCUCCGACGGGUAACUGGUCUGAGAGGAUGAUCAGUCACACUGGAACUGAGACACGGUCCAGA